rnacentral:tRNA from 1 species
AGCUUUAUAGUCAAAAAAUGAUAUAAAAUUGCAAAUUUUAAGUUAUAAAUUUAUUAUUAAGGCUU